UGAAUACGAGACGCUAAGGCGUCGAAGUAGUGUAUGUCAUACUUCCAAGAAAAGCUUGCACUGUCAUAGAUAAAAAACGCCUGUACCAUAACCGACACAGGUGGGUAGGUAGAGUAUACUAAGGGGCGCGAGAUAACUCUCUCUAAGGAACUCGGCAAAAUAACUCCGUAACUUCGGGAGAAGGAGUGCCUUAUUCGUAAGGUUGCAAUAACAAGAUCCAAGCAACUGUUUAUCAAAAACACAGGUCUCCGCUAAGUCGUAAGACGAUGUAUGGGGGCUGACGCCUGCCCAGUGCCAGAAGGUUAAAGAAGUUGGUUAGCAAUUGCGAAGCUGAUAACUGAAGCCCUGGUGAACGGCGGCCGUAACGAUAACGGUCCUAAGGUAGCGAAAUUCCUUGUCGGGUAAGUUCCGACCCGCACGAAAGGCGUAAUGAUUUGGAUACUGUCUCGGAGAGGGGCUCGGUGAAAUAGACUUGUCUGUGAAGAUGCGGACUACCUGCACCAGGACAGAAAGACCCUAUGAAGCUUUACUGUAACUUGAAAUUGAAAUUGGACUUUAUUCGCGCAGUAUAGGUGGGAGGCGUUGAUUAUAAUCUUGUGGGAUUAUUGGAGCCAUCAGUGAGAUACCACUCUUGUAAUGUUAGAUUAACUUUGAAUCAUUAUCUGGUCAAAGAACAGUUUCAGGCGGGCAGUUUGACUGGGGCGGUCGCCUCCUAAACGGUAACGGAGGCGUACAAAGGUUUCCUCUGAACGGUUAGAAAUCGUAUCUAGAGUGUAAAGGCAUAAGGAAGCUUGACUGUGAGACCUACAAGUCGAGCAGGGACGAAAGUCGGUCUUAGUGAUCUGACGGUACUGAGUGGAAAGGCCGUCACUCAACGGAUAAAAGUUACUCUAAGGAUAACAGGCUGAUCUCCCCCAAGAGUUCACAUCGACGGGGAGGUUUGGCACCUCGAUGUCGGCUCAUCGCAUCCUGGGGCGGUAGUACGUCCCAAGGGUUGGGCUGUUCGCCCAUGAAAGCGGUACGCGAGCUGGGUUCAGAACGUCGUGAGACAGUUCGGUCCAUAUCCGGUGUAGGCGUUAGAAUAUUGAGAGGAGCCUUCUUUAGUACGAGAGGACCGAGAAGGACAUACCUCUGGUGUACCAGUUAUCGUGCCAACGGUAAACGCUGGGUAGCUAUGUAUGGAGUGGAUAACCGCUGAAAGCAUCUAAGUGGGAAGCCCACCUCAAGAUAAGUAUUC
rnacentral:rRNA from 1 species